UCCCAGACUCCUACGGGAGGCAGCAGUGAGGAAUAUUGGUCAAUGGGCGCGAGCCUGAACCAGCCAAGUCGCGUGAGGGAAGACGGUCCUAUGGGUUGUAAACCUCUUUUGUCGGGGAGCAAAAGACGCCACGUGUGGCGUUCCGAGAGUACCCGAAGAAAAAGCAUCGGCUAACUCCGUGCCAGCAGCCGCGGUAAUACGGAGGAUGCGAGCGUUAUCCGGAUUUAUUGGGUUUAAAGGGUGCGCGGGCGGUCUGUUAAGUCAGCGGUAAAAUCGCGGGGCUCAACCUCGCUCCGCCGUUGAAACUGGCGUUCUUGAGUGGGCGAGAAGUAUGCGGAAUGCGUGGUGUAGCGGUGAAAUGCAUAGAUAUCACGCAGAACUCCGAUUGCGACGGCAGCAUACCGGCGCCCAACUGACGCUGAAGCACGAAAGCGUGGGUAUCGAACAGGAUUAGAUACCCUUGUA
rnacentral:rRNA from 1 species